rnacentral:lncRNA from 1 species
CGGACACUAUGUCGGAGAACAAAUCACUAUGAGAAAGAAUACAAAAAGGUCUUACAAGUCUCAACUCACAAGACUAACGCUCACAAGACAGACUUGCCUACUCGCCUUUGCUACUCAACCCAACCAGUGAUCUUGUCUUCCUUCGUUAACAAGAGAUGGCACAACUCUGGUUUCGGCUGCUCACACCUCAAGGCACGAUUGCUGAUCACCAACAUGCAUAAUGCUCAUGAACUCACACAUAUAUAAAAAGAUGAUGAUUUAAUCACUCAUGGAGGCUAACAAGGAACAGCCACAUGAGUUUUCAAUAUAAACUCUCAAAACCCUCUCUGCAAAUCUUUUGUCGUUCUUUUUCUUUUCAACAUUGCAGACACACAAAACAAAAUGGCUAAGUUCCUUUCUUGUAUUACACGCUUAAAACUAGGUCAGAGACCAAAAAAUGCUUUUAGCAAAAAUGUGCUUUUUAACAAAUAAAUUAUUUAUUUAAAACAAGCCACUUAAUUAAAAACCCAGCCGUAAAGGCAAAAGAACCCAUUUGCUUAAAUAAGCACCAAACUAAAUAAUAUAAAACCAUCAUUAAAAACUCAUUGAUGUAUGGCACUGGAUUAUGUAAGGCUGAAAUCAUAUAUCAGUCUUAUACAUCUGACAGCCACUUUUGAUGAUCUUGCAAAUAUGCAAAUAUGAAUGCAUGGAUGCAAAACAUAACUUGGCACUGUGUCUGAGCCACACUAAUCCAGGAUAGUAGGACGUUACUUGAAAACUGUAGGUUACACUCAAAGACCUACUCUAUGUUUUUGUAACGGGAAAUUGCCAAUAUACCAAAAAUUGGUCCUAACACAGGGAACUAUCUCUGUUGAACUAAUAGAAUCUUUAUAGUUAACAGUCUGUGAUGGCGGUGGCAACAAUGACGGUAGUAGCUCUGUUGUUGCUUGUUUGCAGUUUUCUUAUUUUGUAAUAAUUGCAUCAACUCCUUGUGAGUUGGGUAUUUGAUUGUUUUCUAGUCUCUACUUGUAUUUUGUAUUUAUGAGAGUUAAAAGUUGUAGUUGUAUUGGUAUAUUUUGGCACUGUGGUUCAUGUCUGGUUUGUUCAACCAUGCAGCUUUUAUGCCAAAAUUUCUUUGGGUUUUUUUGUGGCAUGUAUCUGGAUUAACCAUAUGUGGUUACUAUGCUUCUAUAUUUGUAUCACCCUUUUAUGGGCAUUUGUAUUCGCCCUUGUGGCUGAUAGUCUUUGUGCCUAAUUUAUGAAUACAAUUAUCACUUUUCUCUUAAAAUAUAUAUAUAACCACUCGAGCAGACUUGAGCAACGCUUGGACCACUUUAAUUAGCAACACUCAACCCACUCGAGUGGCUAAAAGUCUUGGAUUAAGUUUUGAUAUACCCAUUGAAAGUGCAUUUGAGUCUCACUUUGCCCCCUGAAACUCAUUUUGUUUCACUGUACCCUAUUUUUCAUACAUACUUGUCUCAAUUAUCCAAGGCCGGCCUUGACUUUUGGUUAGCCCGAGGCAAUAAACUAAAUGAGGCCCCUUCCCUUAGUAUACAAUUGUGAAAAAACAAAAAACAAAAAAUAAUUUUAUGUACGGCAUAGAGUGCAUGAAUAAUGAUUUUACGAUAAACAACUAUAGAGCAUAAUCCUACCUAGUCAAUUAUAAAGCAGAGUCUAAGUCUCUUAACAACAAAGUCAUUGUCUGUGUAUAAUCUGGAAAUUGAAAAAAAUAGUUUGAUGAAUAGGAACAAAUAUAAAUAAAAAAAUUAUAAACAUAAUUACCUUUUCAAUUUCUCAUGUUCCUUCCCUCUUGGUCAUCAUCAAUCUCAAAGACAAUUUGUGAGUCUUUUAGUGUGAGAUUGAUUCUUUGGGUCAUAAUAUGAUAUGAGAAAAAAAGGAUGAGAGAAACUGAAAAUAAUGGAUAGAUUGAAGAGAGAUGAGGAAAAUGAAGAAAAAUAGAGUGGUGGAUUAUUAAGAGAUGGGUGGAUUAAAUAGAGUUCUUCUAUGGAAAAACUAACUAGGAGAGGAAUUGCCUUCUGGGAAGAGGAAUCACCUUCCUCAAGCACAUGUUGUUUCUGUUUCUGCGUGGGAAAUGAAGAAACCUUCUGGGAAGAAGAAACAAAGAAACCUAAUUUAAUGGCAUGUUGUUUCUGUUUUUUUUUUAAAUAAAUAAAUAAAUUGGACAAUAGUAUAUAUAUAAUAUAUAAAAAUUUGGGGCCCCUUAACUGGAGGCCCGUGACCAAGGCCCCCUCUCUCGCCCACCCCAAGGCCAGCUCUACACUUACCUUAUUUUCCAAAAAUAUUAAUUAAAAAUUUAAAUUAGAUUAAAUAUUAAAAACGUUAAUAUAUUUCUAAUGUUCGGGAGAUGGGUAAGGGGGGUGUGGGGGUGAGAGUGGUUUGGGUAGUUGGGAAGAAAAAAAAAUUAGAGAGACCAUUUUCCCUGGAGAGAG